rnacentral:rRNA from 1 species
AGCUCCAAUCGCGUAUAUUAAAGUUGUUGCAGUUAAAAAGCUCGUAGUUGAAUUUCUGGCUGGAAGGGAGCGGUUCCGCACUUUUGUGGAUACUUGCUCGUCUUCUGCCAUCCUUGGGCUUAGUCUCGCUGAUAUUAACUUAUCGGUGUGUACGAUGCCCAUCGUUUACUGUGAGCAAAUUAGAGUGUUCAAAGCAGGCUUAUGCCGUUGAGUAUAUUAGCAUGGAAUAAUAAGAUAGGACCUCGGUUCUAUUUUGUUGGUUUCUAGAGCUGAGGUAAUGAUUAAUAGGGAUAGUUGGGGGCAUUCGUAUUUAACUGUCAGAGGGGAAAUUCUUGGAUUUGUUAAAGACGGACUACUGCGAAAGCAUUUGCAAAGGAUGGUU